rnacentral:misc_RNA from 1 species
GAACGCACCUUGCACCCUUUGGUAUUCCGAAGGGUACACCCGUUUGAGUGUCAUUGUAAUCUCACUUCAACUCUUUUGUUGAAUGUGGACUUGGACAUUGCCGUGUCAUUACGGCUCGUCUCAAAUGCCUGAGUGUACCUUGCUUUUGCAGUGUAUCCGGUGUAAUAAACAUUUCACCAGAGCCAGGUCGCAAGACCGCAUUGUCUAGUAAGCUCUAUGCUUCAAACCGUCCUUUUUGGACAAUCUCUGACAAUUUGACCUCAAAUCGGGUGGGACUACCCGCUGAACUUAAG